UGAGGAAUAUUGGUCAAUGGGCGAGAGCCUGAACCAGCCAUGCCGCGUGCAGGAAGACGGUCCUAUGGAUUGUAAACUGCUUUUAUACAGGAAGAAACACUCCCUCGUGAGGGAACUUGACGGUACUGUAGGAAUAAGGAUCGGCUAACUCCGUGCCAGCAGCCGCGGUAAUACGGAGGAUCCAAGCGUUAUCCGGAAUCAUUGGGUUUAAAGGGUCUGUAGGCGGUUUAAUAAGUCAGUGGUGAAAUCUGGUCGCUCAACGAUCAAACGGCCAUUGAUACUGUUAAACUUGAAUUAGUGUGAAGUAACUAGAAUAUGUAGUGUAGCGGUGAAAUGCUUAGAUAUUACAUGGAAUACCAAUUGCGAAGGCAGGUUACUAACACUACAUUGACGCUGAUAGACGAAAGCGUGGGUAGCGAACA
rnacentral:rRNA from 1 species